rnacentral:rRNA from 1 species
UCGUGUGCUCGAUUCUACGGGAGGCAGCAGUGAGGAUAUUGGUCAAUGGGCGCAAGCCUGCAACCAGCCAUCCCGCGUGAAGGAUGAAGGCCCUAUGGGUCGUAACUUCUUUUAUACGCCAAGAAAAUUUCGGACGUGUCCGAGACUGACGGUAGUGUAUGAAUAAGCAUCGGCUAACUCCGUGCCAGCAGCCGCGGUAAUACGGAGGAUGCAAGCGUUAUCCGGAUUCAUUGGGUUUAAAGGGUGCGUAGGCGGCUUUUUAAGUCAGUGGUGAAAUCUUGCCGCUUAACGGUAAAAUUGCCAUUGAUACUGAAAAGCUUGAGUACAAUUGAGGUAAGCGGAAUGUGUAGUGUAGCGGUGAAAUGCUUAGAUAUUACACAGAACACCGAUUGCGAAGGCAGCUUACUAAACUGUUACUGACGCUGAUGCACGAAAGCGUGGGGAGCGAACAGGAUUAGAUACCCUGGUAGUCCACGCCGUAAACGAUGAUCACUCGCUGUAUGCGAUACACAGUAUGCGGCCAAGCGAAAGCAUUAAGUGAUCCACCUGGGGAGUACGAUCGCAAGGUUGAAACUCAAAGGAAUUGACGGGGCCGCACAAGCGGAGGAACAUGUGGUUUAAUUCGAUGAUACGCGAGGAACUUACUGGGCUUAAUGGGGAACGACAGCUGCCGAAAGGUGGCCUUCUUCGGACGUUCUUCAAGGUGCUGCAUGGUUGUCGUCAGCUCGUGCCGUGAGGUGUCGGGUUAAGUCCCAUAACGAGCGCAACCCUUAUCGUUAGUUGCCAGCGGGUCAUGCCGGGGACUCUAGCGAGACUGCCACCGUAAGGUGUGAGGAAGGUGGGGAUGACGUCAAAUCAGCACGGCCCUUAUGUCCAGGGCUACACACGUGUUACAAUGGCCGAUACAAAGGGCAGCUACCAGGUGACUGGAUGCUAAUCUCUAAAGUCGGUCUCAGUUCGGAUCGAAGUCUGCAACCCGACUUCGUGAAGCUGGAUUCGCUAGUAAUCGCAUAUCAGCCAUGAUGCGGUGAAUACGUUCCCGGGCCUUGUACACACCGCCAUACCAUAUGACUAG